AACAACGGGGUGAAAUAGGCCUUACUUGCCCCCAUUUUAUAGCUGAGGAAACUGAGUUUCAGAGAGGUCAAGUAAUUCACUCAGGAUCGUAGAGCUGAUAAAUGAGAGCCAGGUUUUAAGCCUGCCUGUGUCUCUCUAAUCCAAAAUAUAUGUGCUCUCCAUUGUACUUCCUAUGCCUUAGAGAGACUGAUUAGUGAAAGGGAAACUAGGAAAUGCUUGAGUAUUUCCAGUCCUAAUAAUAUUCAGUUCAAAUUCCAGGAAGGGCAGUGAUUUUCAACCUUCUUAACUUUUCUGUUUUAAAUCUGCAAAAGAAAACCUGCCACAGACCAGAAAGGAGAAAGUUCCCCCUAAAUUGUGUCAAUCUUUGCAGAUAAUAAAGCAACUCUUUCACUUCUGCAGGAUUGUCAAGUGGGAUGUCCAAACCUGAGAAACAGCUAUUUGGUUCUUUACUCUGCCCCUGAAUAGAGUCGGAGCUUCAGGCUUCAGGGAGGGACAAUUGCCAUCAAAAGUCGUCAUGCCCGGGAGCAGGUGUUGCUCAGAAUUGUGAAGACGUUAUGAACCCAGGUGACUUGACUCAAGAGUUACAACCCCACUAAUGAGAAGACACUUCCGACGGACUCAGACCCCAGCAAUAUCUCUCCCUGGCACUGCGCGCGGCUGAUCAAAGCGAGAAGCUUUGCGAACUCCCCAGAGGGUGCACGCCUCCCAUCUAACCUUUGGUGAAGGGAAGUGACGGC
rnacentral:lncRNA from 10 species